rnacentral:lncRNA from 1 species
GGGGAGGGGGGCUAAUUCAUUUUAAAAUACACAGGCUGUGAUCUUUAUAUUUGAUGAAAAAAUGCAGGAUGAGCCAUUAAAUCCCGCCAUUUCCCCUUAAAAAAAUCGUAAAAAUCGCGCGUUUGUUGCCAAAUACAUGAAUUUAAUAUGAAGUGGUGGGGGUCCCGCGGGUUGGAACAACCCUUUUUUUUUGAAGAUCAAUGCAUUUAAAAUUUAAAUGGGGACAUAAAGUUGG